GAUCAAUGAUGAAAAUAGCCAAAUCUGAGCGUCGGCGGCUCAGCCCGCUGCCGCAUGAUCUCUCUGGUUCUGAGA